rnacentral:rRNA from 1 species
GACGGAGGGUGCAAGCGUUGCUCGGAAUCAUUGGGCGUAAAGGGUGCGUAGGCGGCUUUUUAAGUCUGACGUGAAAGCCCAAGGCUCAGCCUUGGAAGUGCGCCAGAAACUGAAAGGCUAGAGUGCCGGAGGGGAGAGUGGAAUUCCUGGUGUAGCGGUGAAAUGCGUAGAUAUCGAGAGGAACACCUGCGGCGAAGGCGGGUUGCUGGGCCGACACUGACGCUGAUGCGCGAAAGCCAGGGGAGCGAACGGG